UCUAAAAAUAGCAUCAGGAUUUGAACGUGGUCCAGAAAUAGACAAGAGGGUUGCACUUGUAUAAAAGGCAGUGCGAAUCGGAGGAAACUUGGACACACAUGCAAUGUUUUUAAUCCAGUCUUUGAAAUGAAUUGUAGAUAGUAUGCAUAGUAAUAUUCUGUGUGGGAGUGUAUGUAUGUGUGAAUGUUGUUUAAUUCUUCUUUCCUCUGUCUCCCUGUUGCAGCGAGAUUCCCUAGCCUGGCGGAGGAGCUCCUUCUCGUCCGUGCCACUGCUGAUUGGUGCGUAAAAAGCACCGACGUAGUGGUCGUGCUUGAAACGGCAUCAGAUACAACGGUUACAAGCUAGGCACAAAAUCUUGCCCUGUCUUUUGAGGGACCCUGAAGACAGCAUUGUUGAUCACCUGACAAGUAACGUGGUUGUGCUCCUUUGCAUGGGGCUGCUUCCUGAUGCUCCUGCAGAUUUCCUGCUAAAGGGAUCAGCACUUAUAGUGGACACUUAGGGGUCGAUAGCCUACUGAAGACAACGAGGCCUAUUCAAGGAUUCACAGUUACUUCAGUGAUCCGAUCCUGCAUGGACACACAUAUUUCUAUGUGCUUUAACAGCUGUCUAGUCCUGAAUGGACAUAUAUGCAGUAUAUAUGUUCAGUGUAUAUUAUCAGAGAGAAAAGGUAUUUGAUGUUACAUUAAUGACAAACUAUAGGUGAAGAAAACCCUUAAAAUAUACAAUUUUAACAGCAUGUACUAGAAAAAGAACUAUAGAAACAGGCUCCAAGCAUGACAAAAAUAAAUGUCACUAUUUUUACAGUGAAAAUACUAGUAUGUAGAAUUUAAAAUUCAGUCUAGCAGUGGUUAGAUCUAUUUUCUGUAAAUAUAUAGCGUUUUAUAUGUAAUAAGUAUAAGAAAAUGGCCAAAAACGAGAUGUGUUUGACAAACAAACAAUACAAGCAAAGUGUUUAAAGUUCUUAGGAUUGAUUCCAUGUUUCUCUAAUAUAUACACAUAAAAACAGCAAGAUGGAAACGUUCAAAGCUGCCUACUGUUUUGAGGUUCUGAUUGUGGAUUACAGGCAUCAGAGUUAAUAUGACAAUAUGAACUAAUCAGAGGUAUGUUUAAUCUAUAUCUUUGUGUAAAAAGAGGAGGAGAAUACAACUCCUUUGUUAUGUAAAUGGUUGGUUAUUUUAGUUUUGGUGCUGUGGAUACUGCUCUUUGUGUAGGUUUCUGAGACAGUAAUUAUGCAGGUCAUACAGACGUUGCUGCUGUGUUCUACUAGGUUUAAUGUAAAGAAUAACGAAUAAAAGAAUAAAUAAAAGAAUAAAUAUUAUCAGGAUUUGUCCUAUGACUAGCAAAAAACGUGUAAAUUGAGUCACAGGGCGAACUGUUAAAGUCUGGACACUGAAACCCUAAUUGAUUAUGUAUUUAAUCUCAUGUUCUGUGUAACUGACGGCCCAGAACACUAUACUGUAAAAUUGUAUACCAAUUGUAAAUUGUUGUAAACGUGGAAAUGUAAUUAUUGUACACGUGGUUUCCUCUUUAUUUGAUUCUAAAAUAAAAUGUUUUGUUUUUUUUAAAAUGGA